GAACCCAAAAUCUCAGGUUGUGAUAUUAGUAAUCUGUGAUUGUGACAUCAAGAAAUUAAUACGCAACGCUGUUUGACAUUUUGGAAUUAAAGCUUUAUCUGUUUAGAAACUUUCCGCAUACAUUUAUUGCUUCGUACGUUUGAGCCAGAAAGAUUUGGUUUUGUAUUGCGUUUCGUGCAUUAUACUGCCAUGAAAUGGAGAGGCGAGAACUUGAUCCUUAUGAGCAGCAAUUGUUGUCUGUAUUUGAAAGUUGUGAUCAGGAUCAGUCUGGGAGGUUAGAUGGUAAUGGACUAGAACAACUGUGUGAAAAAUUACAACUUGAAGAGCAGGGCAUUAAAUUGAUAAAAUGCUUGCUUGGAAGUUCUUCAAGCAAAAAAGUGACAUUUGCCGAAUUUAGAGACGGCCUUCUUACUCUCCUGGGUGAAGAUCAAGGUGAGCGACAAAAGAGAAGAGAAGGAGACAGGGGAUCUCCAGAACGAGAGGUAUCUCCAAAGUUUGUGUUUGGAAGAAAGAAAUAUGGGCGACGGUCUCGACCUGAAAGCACAGAUCAAGAUUUAACAAUUGAGGAAGAUGAAAAUUUGGAGCAUGCAAAUUUGAAGAGAUCAAGACCUGAAGCAUCCUCUCUUGAAGAUAUAAAGGAACAAAAGACAGAUAUACACAGUCCAGUGGGUAGGAAUGGACCUUGUCUUCAAGGAUGCCAAAAGUCAGGAAUGGCUGAAGUCAGUUUGCCUAGCUGGCAGGUGACAACAGAGGUUUCUGAGUUAUCUUAUGAGAAAGCUGCACCAAGGCUGAGUCAUGUUGCUGAGAAUGAAGAAGAGUGCCUUAGAGCUGCUUGGAAGAGGCUUGGUGUUGGCAAGGAUGGUUUUCUUGACAGAGGAGAACUUGCCCUCCUAUGUGAAUGUAUUGGUAUGCAGAAAGUGGCAGAGGAGGUUAUCCAGCAGUUGUUUGAGAAGUUGGAUGUUGAUCGUGAUGGCCACAUCAGUUUUGAUGAAUUUCUGCUGCUGUUUCAAAGUGGUAGAAGUUUGAUUCAACCAAAUGUUACCCACAUCCAUACAGAAGACAAGAGUAAUAGAAGAAGCCUGGGGAUAGACUUCCAGCAAUGUUCAGGCAAUACCAAGGAACGGAAAACUUUGGGAUCAUCAGACCAAGAUUUGCAGUUCUUGGCUCUGGACACAAACAGUGCUGGGUUUGUAAAUGUAGAGGUCAUAGUAGAGAUAUGGGAGGCAGCUGGAGUUCCAGGUCCAUCCCGUUUACUGCAGGAUUUGGGUUUCAAUGAUUGUCGACUCAAUGUAGCAGACUUGGCAGCUGUCUUGGAAGAGGAGCUGCGCUCCAUAGCUAAUGAGAGGAGAGAUGAUGAUGCUGCUGGAAGCAGCAUCCAUUGCUAUUCUCCACAUGAAGUUUUGCUUCAAGCAACAUUGGCUCUUUAUCAGACAGAAGUUCGUUGGCUGAAAUUGUCCCUGGAGCACAUGACUGGUGAGCGUGACAAGCUUCGAGCUGAUAUACAGGAUGCCAAUGAAAGAGCCUCACUUCUUGCUCAAGAAGUUGAUGACCAUCAUGCCCGACUUGAGAAAUACAGUCAGCUGCAAGUCAAGCUUUUGGAACAACAGCAUGCCAAACAGCUGAAGGAGCUAUCAGAACAGCUGGGAUUAGACAGAGAGCACUUUGCAGUCCAGAACUUAUCCCUGGAGAAAAGGGUGGCCAGUCUUGAGGAGGAGGAGUCUCGAUUGAGGAUGCAAGUUACCUCUCUUCAGUUGGACAAUGAGGUUUUGGACAAGGAAAACCAUAACUUGACAGAGCAGUUAUUAAAGUCAGAAGAAACAAGGGUACAAGUCCAAAAGGAAUUAGAAUCUUUGGCUGGACUUCAGCAACGUCUAGGUGAAAUGGAAGGCUGUGAUGAAAAAGAACAGGUCCUGCCAUUGGUUGAGAAAGUUAAUGAACUUCAAGCUGAAAACACAGGACUUCGAGAUCGUAAUGAUGAGUUAACAAUGGAAGUUGAAGCCCUUACAGCUAAACUGGCUGCAUUGAAGACAAAAAAGUCUCUUGUGAUUCAACCAAGUUGUGAGGCUGUGGACGGAGUGAUUUCGGUAGAAGGAACUCGAAUUCUAUCUGGAGGAUCUGCAACUAAGAGGCGGGGUAAUUUAGCUACUGAGGGCAACUCUGACGAGGAGAGCCCUCGACUGGAAAAAAUGCGCCGUUGCUGUGAUAGUAGUGGAGAUAACAAGGAUGCAUCAGUUGAGGCUGUUAAUAUGGAAGGUCUUCAAAUCCAUCAUAGUGAAAGUGGAGUGGAAGCUGAUUUAGGCAUUGAUGACUAUACAGACUCUGGUUUUGGGGGAGAAGGACAAGUAAGAGACCAUCAUUGCAGUGAGUGGGACAGCAGAGAAAUGUUGCCAUUAGCCUUGGAGUCAGGAUUGAUAUCAGACUUGAAGGCCCAUAUUGAAAAUUUAGAGCAAGAACUGAAACUGAAAAGUGAGAAACUUGUGGUUUGCGAGACAGAACGAAGUAGGCUGAAGUUGAAUAUUGCCAAGAGUCCUCAUAAUGUGGCUGCAGAGGAACCAGAUAACGAAAAGUCUGUGAAGCAACUGAAAGGUCAAUUGAAACAGGUUUUCCAACUGAUUCAAAAACAGAUCCUGGAAGAGUUUUUGGAAGAAGAUGGUAACAUCUCUGCUCUGCAGGAAUCUUGCAGUAGUCAUAACCAACGAACUGGACAGAUCGCUCUUCUGGAAAGGACCGAUGAUGGAAACAUGUCCACAGUUGAUAGCGCUCCUCUCCUACAGACUUCAGUCCCACUGUCCAUUAAUGGAAUAACCCUUGACCCCCUAGAAAAGGCCAAAGAUGUUGAACAAUUAGGAAACCAUUGUAGGAACUUGAAGUUUCAGUCAGAUCUAGUUAAUAGUAAAAUAGUGAAAAUUAUAUCUGAAAAGAUAGCUUGUUCCAAAGAAAACUGUGCCUUGAAGAUUCACAUAUCAGAUUUAAAGAAUCAACUUCCUGUGGACGAGGUAUUCAAAGAUGUUUCCUCUUUCCGAUCGUCUCAGAAUGAUCCCAGGUUUGACAUAUCUCAAGAAAUGUCCAGUCUUCAAGAAUACACAAGUGAUGUAGCUGAGUGUAUAAGAACUGAUUACAGUGAUGUUGCAGUAAAAUCUGUUUCAGUGAACCAAGUGAAAGAAAUUUUCUUUCUAAAUGGUAUUGAAAUGGGGGAAAUCAAAGGAGGAAAUGAUGUGCUUGAUUUAAUGGAGCAUGAUGAAAAACAGAUUACAAAAUUAGUGACAGAAGAAGGGGAUGAUAGUAAUGACAAAGAGAAACUUGAUUUACCUGAAAAGCUUAGUGAGCACAGCAUUUGUGCAAGAAGGAGUUCCUCUAGUUCAAUACUGCAAGUAGAGGAUUUAUCUAAAAUAUGGAUGAGGGAGGAGGAGACAUGUGCAGAAGAGAUCACAGUAUUGCGGGAGCGAUGCUGUCAAUUGGAGAGCAGCCUGGAAUUGUUACGUCAGGAGUAUGAAAAAUGUGAGGACUAUUGGGCAAACAAACUGGAAGAGGAACGUCUUCUGUAUGACCAGGAACAGAAACUCAGUGAUGAAAAGUUUUCAGAAUUGAUGUCCAAGAUUAGAGAAUAUGAGGAAAUGUUUGGUGCACAAGAAGAUGAUAGCGACAUGUUGUCAACAAUAGAAGAGAGAGGAAGUCUUGAGAAACAGUUUACAGAUUUGGAAGAAGAGUUUGUAGAAUUUAGGCAAAAGGUUGAGGUGGAACAAGCAGGGAAGGAAGAAGAGCUUGUUCGACUAAGAGAACAGCUGAAGACUGUGGAGCAACAGUAUAAGAAUACAGAGAACAAGUUGAAUGUGGCAGUGCAAGUUUCGGAUUUGGAGAACGGAAGUUGGGAAAGUGAUUGCAAGUUUGUUGUGGAACUGGAUGGAGCAAGGAAAGCAAUCCAACAUGAGACAGAGUCACAGAGAUUCAGCAAGGCUAGAUAUAGCAGUGGAUCAAGUUCUCCACAGAAAGGGCCAAGUACACAUUGCAAUCAUACAGAACUGAUUCAUCUUCAUAAUCUUAAGGAACAUUUGAAUGAGGAAUGUCAUGUACUUCGCCACCAGAAGGAAGUGCUGGAACAGGAAAUUAUGGAAAUUCAAACUCAAAACUCACAUUGUCAAAAUGCUGGUGUUGUAUUGCCUCCACAUUGGACAUCUGGUGCCAAGGUUGGUGGCCAAGCAUGUCGAAUAGAUCUUAACAUUCUACAAGCCCUGAAUUCUCGACUGCGGCAGCAGGAGCAACAGUGUCACCAUCUGCAGGUUGCUCUUAAACAACAGCAACAGCAGAGUGAAAACAUCCUAAAACGUACUAUGCAGGAACACAAACAAAAAGUUGCAUCUUUGCAGUCAGCACUGCAAACUACCCAAGAGAAACUGAAUCAACAGACAUCAGCCUACAAGGAGCAGAUGGAGCGCCUAGCAAGAACUGACAUUCUGGUGAAAGAUUUAUAUGUAGAGAAUGCAUAUCUUGUAGCAAACGUCCAGACGUUACAGCAGCAUUGUCAAGUGUUGGUCCAGAUGACUUCAGACUCCAGCUCUGUGUGAAAGAAAGGUGAUUCACAUUUUGUAAGAGGCAAGUCAUGAAUAUAGGUAACUGUCUCUAAUACAAGUUUUAUAAUCUUUGACAACAUAGGACAUUUAAGAGGAAUCUUACUAUGCAACUGGUACAUAAAUACACUAGAAGCAACAGCAAAGCCUUGUCUACAAAAUUCCAUCAUUACACAGCAGUAUACAUACAAAGACAGGUUAAAUUGGGACGCUGCUUAGGUCAGUAUCUCAUACUGAUGUUGGCUGCAUAUAUAGGGUAAGAGAUUCAGUAUGGCUUAUUGAGCUCAGUGUUAAUAUAUGUGCAGGUCAUGUACCUUUAUAUUCCACAUCUAUGACAGAAAUGUUGAAUUAAUGUCUUGCUAUUAUGUUUUCUUUUGUAUAUGCACAUAUCAAGUAGAAUAUUUUACAUUCUUAAACAUUGAUGUCUUGAAAGAUUUUGUGUAAUGAAUAAUUACUAAAGUUUAAAAAUGUAAUGCAACCGAGAGUUCCCCCAAUGCCAGCACUUGUAAAGUGGCUAGUUAGGGAAUAAAUUGUACUGCUUUCCACCAUUUGUUGUGGCAUUUGGUAUCAUAGGCUGUUGCCAUACCUGCCCAUCCCCCACAAAAAGACAUGUUCUACUGUGAACCUUAUGUGGGAAGGAAUCAGAGUACUUCAACUGGCUGAAUCUCAUUAUCUCUCUAACUUUCCACAUGCAUAAGGGAGGCAGGGACUAGUCAGAAGUCAGGUUGCUUAUCUAGAGUUCUUUAAUAUGCAUAUAUAUGUACAUGUAUUACAUUCAUUUACUGAACAAUUUCUAUUUACUGUAUUCCUUAGUUUCCCACUCCUUUUCUCUCUUGAAAUUCUCUCUGCAUAAUUUUUGCUCUCUAUCAGGACUUGUUACCCACAAAAUUGGCUGCAGUCCUAGUGUGCCAUGGGUAGCCGUAACGAAAGGGUUACAGCUAAUUUAGCGAUGAUGAAUUCACUAGCUUUAUGAAUGUGGUCGGACGGGCAUGCACGGUUGUCCUUGUUAUAGCUCCAACCCUUCUACCUUUUUCCUGUCCACUGUGUGGGACUGUGUUGUGAAGGAACUUUGAAGACCACUUCUUUUUUUUUUCUGUGCAGGCUUUCACCCGAUGUACUUCAUCGAAAUUAUAGUUCGGCUUGGUACUUCAGAAUUGUGUUCCGCUUUGAGGGGUUAUCCCUGUACAGGCGGUUGACCGGUGGGACGUCCGCUGUGAUCAUGUUGGAACCAGAAGAAGCAUUAGCUGUGAUGUUGCUGUUUGGAAAGAAUGAAAGUAGUAGGAGGAGGAAGAGAAGAAAACUAUGGGUACAUUCAGGGCUGACUACUUAAUCGAGUACUGGUGCAUUUUAUACACUACUUAAUGAACAGCAAGAAGAUUCUGGAAAAUUCUCCAUCUGCUUUAAAAUGUUGCCUAAGUCAUUUGAUGAAUUGAAAAGUGUGCUGACAGAUUCAAUUUAUGAGUGGUGUACCAACAUGUGAAGAUAAUACCAGGAAAGGAAAGCUUAGCUGUAACAUUAUGGUAUGUAUUGCAUAUUCAUUUAUUUUUCCUUCUAUGUCAUUCCUAUAGUAGCCGUCACCAGAUUGCUUGCUUUAAGGCCAUGAAAGGACUUCACCCAUCCCCCUGCCAUGCAGCUCUAAGUCAAAACAAUACACCAUUGUUAGCUUUGCUGGAGUGUGAGUUCUCAGUUGUCUUCACUCACCUGGGCAACGCUGUUCAGUGCAGUGCAGCGAUGUAUGAUUUUUCUGUGACUAUAUAACACAGUUUGAUGACAGCUGCUGUAAUUGGUAGAAAUAAUAACUGAACUUAAAUUUUCUGUAUCCAUUGCACCUCAGAUUUGAAAACUUUUAAUAUGUUAAAUGGUUAUGAAACAGCAGCAUUAUCAGUUUUUAAAUAGGAAAUAUAAUAAAUUGACUGUUUUAUCAAAAAUAUUAGCUAACACUUUGAAAUGCAGUGGUUGCAAAAUCACUUAUGCAUCAAAUUUAACAUUUACAAAAUACUGUAUUCAGCCUACAGAGAGCAUUCUUGGGUUUCAUGUGAUUAUCAGAAGUAGCUAUAAUUUUCCUACACAUUUUAAUUUUCUAUAUGAAUUGGAUGCAGUGAAGUAGAAACCGAAGUUUUUUUUAUUUUUCAUGAAUUUUAGGCUUUACAUGGUAAAUUAAUAUUUGUGGACUCUUCACUGUAUCAUCAAUUAUAUUCAAGAGGCUCAAAGAAUUUGACAAUUGGCUGUCCGAGUAACACUGAGGACCAUUCACUGUUGGAGCAGUAGAGAAAGUCAGACUGUUUUGCGGGGCUCUGGUUGGUGCUGAGCUACCCAAGUAAUUGUAUAGUGGUUGGGAAUGAAAGUAAACCAACUGUGUGCGUAUAGUGAGAUCGAGGUUGUUGGCUGUAAUAGAGAGUGGAAUUCAGUGGAUAGCUUGAAGCUCUUGCAGCAGUUGGACUAUCCAUGAACUUAUAUUUCUUAAUAGUGGAUAUAAUUUACAUUUUUACAUCUAGUUUCAUUUUUUGUGGGAGGGGGAGGAUAGAUCUGUCUUCCUAAACUAAUGAAAGUAUAAAACUUCUCAAUAGCUCUUCUUUGUUUAAGACUCAGUAAGGAUGUUGCACAUCUUUUCUGUUGCUACAUCAAAACAGAGUUGUGAGUUUGUAACUUCUAUUCAUUUAGUAGCCUUCUUAGGCACCUUUGGGUUGGAAAAAUGUGUAUUUCCGUGGUACAUUCUUCUGAUGCUGAUAGAGUUUCUGCUUCAGAAGGAUCACUGUUAUCCAUGCUUGAAAUAGUCCUGAAAUUUAAAAUAUUUUUCCUGUAUUGCAUGUUUGAUUUAACACUCUUCAAACAUAUGUGUUUGAAUAUAAGUGCCUUGAACUUAAGUGAUUUCAAAUUUGGUUCUUUGCACUGUAUUUGGCUCCGUGAGAGGUAAGGCACCACCUUGUAACUGUACUUCUUGUUAGUGAUGACAGGUACUAAGAUUGAAAGAAUGAGAGUUGAUCAUCAUAAACAUAUAUCUUCCUCAUUGCUUCUGCUCCUUAUACCAGAGGAGUGAAUUUUAUUUUUUGUAUUCUCUUGAGAAUGAAUUUCUAAUGUCUUUCCACUUGCAUUGAAGCUCAAGUCCUGAAAUUAAGUUACUAGGUAAUAUUCACUUCAAGGUGAACUUACAGGUCAGAUUUCUUUCCAGGUUCCUUGGAUCAGGCUGUGCAUUAACAGAACCAAUAAUAUUACAGAAUUUGAAUUUUAACACUCAAUAAUAUCAUUCAAAAUGUUUGCAAGAAAAUAUGGAUUCUUGUAAAAGGCAUCUGCUUGCAUGAACCAAAUAAAUAUCUGUGGCAAAAUACUGCAGAUGAUAGACAAACUUUCCCAAUUGCAUAGCGGCCAUUGGUGGGAAACACAGUUGAUAAAACCAGAACAUAGUGGAUCACUAAUUUUAAAUUAUGGAAACUACGCUUCUAUUGUGCAUUGAUGUGAAUUACUAUUUAAUUGCUUUUGACGUUGAUAGAUUUGGGUAGAGUUCUUAUUCAUCCAUUGUCCUGAACUCAAAACUGUGGAAAAAGUUGAUUUCCAACAAACUUGAUAUUCCAAAUCCCAUUGAGUUACCUGGCAUAGACAAACCUAAGCUGCCUCACAUUUUUGUGCAGAUGAGACAUUUGGUCUACCAAGCCAUGUCAUGUGCCCAUAUGGAGGAAAGAAUUUACGAAUGCAAAAAGGGUCUUAAAUUAUUACUUGUCAAGGGCAUGGUGAUUUGUUGAAUGCUCAUUUGGAAUACAUUCAAAUAAGUGGUGAAUUUUUCACAGGUCAUCAGAUGUAUUUUUGGAAUGUUAUGAAUAUAUUGUAAAACGUUAUGUAAUACUGCAUAAUCUUGUGUGACAGAGAGACAGCUUUCAGUUUUAGAAUACUUUAUGUUUUGAAGGAUUAAAAAAUUUUCGGUGUAGAGAACAGAGUAGUGGGAAGACACCUAAUGCCAUUUUCAAUACAUUUUCGGAUUAUUUUGCAGUUGUUGGUGAGUUGCCAUUGCAGUAUACAUAAAUGUGAAGUGUUUUAGAAUGAAGUGAAUAAUUAUCUCGUGCAUCAUUUGUAGAAUGUACUGCUUUCAGGUUUAUGUAUUGUAACACUUCAGAAUCUAUAUAAUUCACUGCAGACGUUUGUAACAAAAAUUACUUGUUCCUUAGCAAUGUUACAAUAAACAAUGAGUUAUGAACAGAACUCAGAAAGCCAGACAGCUUGGUGACUUCAUGAGCCUUCUUUAUUUACUUAAGGAAACCAGGCUAAAAAUAAAAAUUAAGAAAUUGCA